rnacentral:lncRNA from 1 species
AAACACCUAUGAUAAGACUUGGAUCUAAUACUAAUAUGGUUUCUCAGAAAUUGAUAGUCAUUGUUUAAGGACUUUGUGUGGUUCUGAGUUAACUCUGUCCUGCAUGCCAUCCUUGCACUUAUUGAGCACUUUGCCGAGUUAGUCCAAUUUCUUGCUACUUGGAGACGAUAUGCAAUUCUACUUAUCUCAAAUCUUGGUUUUGUACUCUAGAACUUAUUUGAAUAUCUCUUGAGACAUUUUGUUGCCAUACAAUGCUUAGGAAGUGAUUUAGGCCAUGUUUGAACCGUUUGAGCUUUUCUAACAAUCCCUCUACAUGUAUUCAUCCCU